UGCGUAGGCGGUUACAAAAGUCAGCUGUGAAAACCCAGUACUCAAUAUUGGGAAUGCAGUUGAAACUUUGUGACUAGAGUAUGGGAGAGGUAAGUGGAAUUUCUAGUGUAGCGGUAAAAUGCGUAGAUAUUAGGAAGAACACCAGUGGCGAAGGCGACUUACUGGACCAAAACAGACGCUGAGGCACGAAAGCGUGGGGAGCAAACA
rnacentral:rRNA from 1 species